rnacentral:ncRNA from 1 species
GUGGGUAGGGUAAAACCAAGUCCCACCUUGUGACAGAAUUAAGCUACUCUUGGAGAGCUAAUGUAAUCACAUAGGAGUUGUAUCCACUUCGACGACCUUAACCUGGUUGAGAAGAAUUUUCGUAACUGAAAGAUGUGAGGUAUGAAGUAAAGAAAAUCCAAGACGGAAAUUGUGAGUAAUCAUUAAUCUCACAUCCC